rnacentral:rRNA from 1 species
CACCUCUAGCAUAACAAGUAUUAGAGGCAUUGCCUGCCCAGUGACUAAAGUUAAACGGCCGCGGUAUCCUGACCGUGCAAAGGUAGCAUAAUCACUUGUUCCUUAAUUAGGGACUAGAAUGAAUGGCUAAACGAGGGUUCAACUGUCUCUUACUUUCAAUCAGUGAAAUUGACCUUCCAGUGAAGAGGCUGGAAUACUACAAUAAGACGAGAAGACCCUAUGGAGCUUUAAUUUACUAGUUUAAUUUAUACAGUAACAACCUAAUGGACCAAAACAAAAUAAAUAUAAACUAAAAAUUUCGGUUGGGGUGACCUCGGAGAAUAAAAAAUCCUCCGAAUGAUUUUAACCUAGACCCACAAGUCAAAGUAAUAUUAAUAUCUUAUUGACCCAAUUAUUGAUCAACGGACCAAGUUACCCUAGGGAUAACAGCGCAAUCCUAUUUAAGAGUUCAUAUCGACAAUUAGGGUUUACGACCUCGAUGUUGGAUCAGGACAUCCCAAUGGUGCAGAAGCUAUUAAUGGUUCGUUUGUUCAACGAUUAAAGUCCU